AAGUUCAUAAUUGGUUCAAGCAAAAGAGGGGUCGCCAACGAACUGUGAUGGUAAAAGGUGCUGAAUCGGAAGAAAGUUGCAACGUGGAAGCUGUAUAGAUCAUGUGUACAAACUGAUAAUGUACGUGAGAUACAGGAUAUCCCUAUCACCUGAUUGACGUGUGAGAGUAAUAGUUUAGCUGGAUGGAACCAGAAUCAAAGUGUCGCUGUUGUAUUGUGUUAUUAUAGGAAGGAGAGUGGAGGAAAAGCAAAAGCACAUUCUUCAAUCAUCUCAAUCAGGCCCUCUCUCUCUUCUCAUUCUUCAAAGUUAGGGUUGGGUUUGAUAGAAAUGGAGAAAGCUAGGAGAGCAUCGCAUGCUGGCUCAUGGUACACCGAUAACUCUAAAAGAUUAGCAGAAGAGCUUGAUGGUUGGCUCAGGGCAGCUGGGCUGCCCAAAUCUCCAGAAGUAAGAGCUGUGAUUGCUCCACAUGCAGGUUACUCCUAUUCAGGCCGUGCUGCUGCCUAUGCAUUUGGAAACAUAGACCCAACUAACAUUUCUCGGGUAUUCCUUCUCGGUCCAUCUCACCACUAUUACACACCAAAGUGUGCUCUUUCUACAGCCACAGUAUACAAGACUCCUAUAGGCAACCUACCUAUUGAUUUGGAAGUCAUUGAGGAGCUAAAAGCUACAGGAAAGUUUGAAUUGAUGGAUAUUCGUGUUGAUGAAGCUGAACAUAGCAUGGAAAUGCACUUGCCAUAUCUUGCAAAAGUAUUUGAGGGACACCCAGUAAAAGUUGUGCCCAUUCUUGUUGGUGCUCUCAAUGUUGAAAAUGAAGCAAUGUAUGGAAGGUUGUUAGCCAAAUAUGUGGAUGAUCCGAGUAAUUUCUUCUCCAUAUCCUCAGAUUUUUGUCACUGGGGUUCUCGGUUCAAUUACAUGCACUAUGACAAGAAAUAUGGGGCCAUACACAAAUCUAUUGAGGCAUUGGACAAAAUGGGCAUGGAUAUAAUAGAAACAGGAGAUCCAGAUGCAUUCAAACAGUAUUUAUUGGAGUAUGACAACACAAUUUGCGGACGCCAUCCGAUCAGUGUCCUUCUCCAUGGAUGUAAUCGACAAGAGCUAAAUAAUGUUUGACUUAAGUUCAGCUUAAUUAUUUCAAGGGAGAGCGCAAGCUCUCUGAUCUGAUGUUGAGGCAGUGCUCAACAAAGAUAAAAAUCAAAUUCCUUCGAUACGAGCAAUCAAGCCAAUGCAGAAGUACAAGAGACAGCAGUGUAAGCUAUGCAUCUGCGGCAGCAAAGGUGGAUGCUUGAAGAUAUAUGAAAGUAUGUCCAUCUACUUGUACGGUAACAUAUAAGCAAAUUAAUGUCCUUUGAAUUGAUUGUCUAAUUUACGACUUGCGUUUGCAAUAACUAUAUCGGAACUUUCAACCA